UGCACGACGCCUGAGGACAUCGACAAGACAACAUCGUUACUGAACGAGCUGAACGGCGAGGUAUCGAGGGAUUCAUUACCUGGCCUGACCUGACCUGAAAUGCAAUCAGUUUGUUUUAACUGUGAGGGAGCGCAGAAAAGCCGAUCGAUCAGAAGGAGAAGAGAAGGUGACCAAGAGAGUAUCAGCAUCGAAAUACGGUUCCUCGGGAAGACAUAGAAGCAGCCGCCACACACACACAUACAUACACGCGCGCAACUCUUUUCGUUUGCUGGUUAUCGAGAGGAAACCUGGAAAGAAAUUAUCGUUGCUGAAAAAUAAUCUGCCAGUUCCCCUUGGAAUUGAAAAUUACAUUCAAGCGAGUUUAUUUUAAUGUUUUCUAUCCAUAUAAUACUGCGACCACAUACAUUUGGUUUUGUGAUUUGUCAAUCAAGUGCAGUUAACAGGAAAGCUUCUGAAGAUUAUUCUUCAGAACAAGGUUUUUUCUAUCCAAUAUUGAAUGCAUAAAACCUUGAGUCUUCAAAGUAACACUCUCGUUUUUGAAGUCACCCAAAUAUUUAUUUAUUCAUUCAUUCAGGAUGGAUUUAGAUUCAACUUCAAACAAAUGAUCUCUAAAUCAACGAUAGUCCUACGUCACCCUUGCGGUUAUACCAUAGAUAUAACCCACUUCCUGUUUUUUUACGGAACCCACUCUCCAUUUCAGAGGAGGGAGGGGUGUCAUACCAUCAUAAAAACAUUUCUCGUAUCCAAAACCACUCAAAUCCCAAAUUUGGCCCCAUUUGCUUGAUUAGUUCUCGAGUUAUGUAGAAGUUUGUGUUUCACUUGUAUGGCAGCCCCCUUGUCUUUAGAGAGGGGGAAGGAUUGUCAAACUAUCAUAUAAACAAUUAUUGCCCCUUAAAUUUUCCAUAUGCCGAUUUUCUUUCCGUUUGCUUGAUUUGUUUUCGAGUUAUACAGAAAUUUGGGUUUCAUUUGUAUGGCAGCUCCCCUCCAGAGAGGGGAGAGGAAUGCCAAUUCACCAUAGACACGUUUUGUACCCCCUAAAAUCUCAACAUGCCAAAUUUGGCUCGAUUUACUUGAUUGGUUCUCGAAUUAUGCAGAAAUUUGUGUUUCAUUUGUAUGGUGGUCUCCCCUUAGAGAGGGACUAGGAGGGUCGAACCACCAUAGAAACGUUUAUCGAUCCCUAAAAUCUCUAUAUGCCAAGUUUUAUUCCAUUUGCUUGAUUAGUUCUUGAGUUAUGCAGAAAUUCGUGCUUCAUUUGUGUGGCAGCCCUCUUCCCCCUUAGAGAGGGGAGGAAUGUCUAACCACCACAGAAACAUUGCACCCUCAAACCUCUUCAUGCCAAAUUUGGUUUCAUUUGGUUGAUUAAUUCUCGAAUAAUGCAGAAAUUUAUGUUUCAUUUGUAUGGCGGUCCCCAUUAGAGAGGGGGGAGGGGUCUCGAACUCGAACUAUCAUAAGAACAAAGAACAAUUUCGUUAGCGCAAACAUCAACGCUUAUCACGAUGUAAUUGCAAAACAUAUGGGCAUUAAAUUUUCCAAAUUUUUCUAUGUUUAUUCAGAGUUUUCCGAAAAUUUUCAAUUGUCAUGUUUGGUUGAAAUAUGUGUAAUAUUAUUAUGGGACCCUUCCCCUCCUUCCAGAGGAGGGAGCAGUGUCAAACCGAUUAUCGCCCCCUAAAACCUACACAUGCCAUUGCUUCAUUAGUUCUAGAGUUAUGUAGAACCCAUCCCCUUCUUUUAGAGAGAAAAAAAACAAAUACUUCAACGGAGGACGAUUUGGAAAACUUGGGAGCAGGGUUGCCAACUAUUAUUUCCAAAAAUCAGAAAUAAUACAAAUAAAAAUUAGGAAUUAAACAGGACAGCUGGCCGUAGAAUUGAAGAUUUUACCAUUUAGCGAAUUUUGCAAGAAUCUUUUGAUCGUUUAUAUCUUUUUCCUAAAAUCCUAUAGCAUCCUACAUUGAAUUAAUCGUCUACACUUUGGUAUGAAUCUUUACUCAUUGAAUGAGGAAAGCAUAUCAGCAGUAGAUGAAUAGUUGAUUUUUUUUAAAUUUUGAUUCGAUUCUAGAUACAUUUCCUAUAGAUUCACUAUUGGAGUAGAUUCUACUUUGAUUCUGACGGGCAAAUGUUAUAGAAAAUCUUAUCGUAUUCACCCUCAUUCUUGUUUACGCUCGUAUCUGACUUUUGUUCGAAGGACUUGAUUCAAACAAUUUCGAAAAAUACAUUCUUGUUUUCGUACGAAUUCGUUCGAACAGGACCUUUUUCGAACGUGAACAUGUUGAAGUAUUCAGAUGCAAGAUUUCAUGCAUCACUAAAAUUUCUGUAAUUUCUGUAAAUUUGAGUAAUAAUACACUCUGGAACAUAUUCUUUCAUCAAUAACAUUGCGGCUACUCGUAUAUACAUAUCAUACACGCUAAUGUUGUUUCUUAAACUUAUUCUCGUUUUUUUUUUACUAAUAAUUUUCAAUCUGAUGGAGUAAAAAGUAUAACAAUCAGGAGAACUCACGAUCAUUUCUGAAAAAUCAGGCAAAAUUGAGCUGAGCCGCCGCUUAUGAACGAGUUUGAAGCCCCAAUUACAUCGCAGCUAUUGAACUUGACGAAGCAAAUCAUCAAAUGAUUUUACUUCUUAUCGACGUGUACUACACCAGUACGAAGCUUUCUGUAAUCAGUCGGACAUCGUCCCGUAGAUGGGCAGCAUCGAGCCCGAAACCGGUCGACUAAAAAGGUAAAUUUACCAUCCUUUUUAUGUUUGUAAGAACCAUAAGUGUUGUGUCCUGUCGCGUUCCGCGUGUUGUGUGUGUUAAAAUUGAGUAUUUGUCAGAAUAUCAGGGAACGUACCAAAAAGUCUGGGAAAUCCUGAAAAAUCAGGAAGGUUGGCAUUUCUGCUUGAAAGAAUGCCAGCAAGCUUUAACUUUGAUGCUUUCAAUUUUAAAAAACGUACUAAUUGAUUGAAAUAACUGAAAAUGAAUAUACGUUAGGGUGACAAUGAAAAUGGUCAUCUCGAAUUUCAAAAAGUUGUUCACAUUCUCGAAAAACACCCUAUGCGAAAUAUCAGCUCAAUCGCACUUAAGGACUUUUUGUGCAAAUCAACAUUCCGCAGCACGUUCCAAAUGAAAAAUCGAGAUAACAAUUUUUUUUGGCACCCAAAACCAUACGUUUUGCCUCGUAUUCGGAAAAAAAAUAGUCCAGAGUGUCGAUUUUGACAAAAAACAAAAUUCAAUAUAACAGUAGAUCUCGAUGUUUCAUGUAAUUUUCAGACAUGUCGCAUCAAAAAAUUUUUUUUAGACCCCCAUUUCCUUUACUCUCCCUUGAGUGAUUUUUUGAUUUUCAAAAAACUCAAACUUUGACCGCUUUCCGCCACUUCCCCUUAAGUCCGAUUAACACGUUCAUCGCCCAACGUGACGUUUCUGAGUUUCUUGCGGGGUCUAACUUGCGGAUAAAUUAUUGAAUAAAAAUCAAACUUAUCUUUUAAAUAAUCCAGCUUUUUUUCUAAUUUGAAGACGAAUUUACAAACAUGCAUCUCAAAUCUAUUCACGGUUUAAUGAAUAGGGGCUUCAAAUUCUGGAUUGUUCAGCCUGUUUACCAGAUCAAAACCCUAGCAAGAACCUAUCAAGAAUGUGUUAUUUGAACUGAUUUAGCACUAAAGAUGACCUACGAAUAAGAAACUUAUUGAAAUUUAUGUGAGAUUGACGUUAAUUUUGUGAAGGAUUGAGAGUUUUUCCAUCUGGUUCUAUAGUUAUGAAACACUGGAAUUUUUUUUUUCAAUGUUUCGUGUCUGAACACAAUAAUAAAGUUGAAAUGGUCUUAAAGGUCAGUCUUAUAGAUGAAUAUAGUUAUUAUAUCCUAAACUAUAUACUCCAAUUCAACCGACUUCAUACACAUUGUCGUGAAACGCAAUGUAUAAUAUGGGUUUCGCAAAAAACUGCAGUGCAAACCAUUCGUAAUAUAAAUUAAUAAAAAAUAUAGUAUAAACAUUAUAUUAAUAUGGUCAUGAUUUAAUGAUAUUUCUACAUAUCAUAAAGUCACAUUUAGGUGCCAACUUCCUUCUACAAAUUCUAUUGAAUUUGAAAGAGGAAAGUUUCACCCAUAUCUGGGUGACGGGCGACGAACGUGUUUUAUUUUUUUAUUUUUUAUUUUAUUUCACCAUCUUCGACAACGUCGUACAGACUGAAACCUUAAGAUCUAAAUUAUUCUAAGUUUCUUAUUCUAGUACUAAACACAUUCUUGGACAGAGUAAAAUCAAACACAUCACUAACAUUGUUAAAAGAACGUAAACACAAAUUGAAACUAUUGUUGAAACCAUAAUUCGUUCUAUGGAAUGGUAUAAGAAAUAACGAUGAAUUACGAAAACGACGGGGAGGAAUAUUCCACGGAACUUGACGUAACAGUUCGGGACAGUCCACAUUGCCGGUUAUUAGCUUAUAAAUAAAUAUUCUUUGUAGUUUGAUACGCCUGGCUGAUAGUGUUUCCAAGUCAAUCAGUUUGCAACGAUCAGCAUAACUCGGAAGAUUUAUCGGAUCAUUCCAAGGGAGCUGUCGCAAAGCAAACCGCAUGAAACUUCUCUGGAUUCGCUCCAACGCAACGAUUUUUGUAACGAGGAAUGGGGACCAAACCGGUGCAGCAUAUUCCAUGAUGCUCCGAACUAGCGCGCAGUAUAACUUUUUGAGGCAAUACACGUCAGAAAAUCCAGAAGCAUGGCGACGAAUGAAACCGAGCACCGUGUAUGCUUUAGCGGUUGUGAUUACUACACUGGAGACAAACAUUAGUAAAUGAAGCUACCAAAUCUUUAGUAGUUGAAACAUUGGUAAAAUGUACAAAUUUUUUGUACAUAUUACCAAAAUCCGGUAAAACUGAUGUCAGAUGUAAUGUACAUCCCUACCAGAGAUUCGUACAUUUUACUUCAUGCCAUUUGUAACCUUCAAUGUUUUCAUUCCUAAUGGGCACCUUACACGAUCAACCGGAUUGACAAUAAGUGUCUUCAAUAUCGUGACAGCUAGGCUUUCAACAUCUGAUCUAACCUCAAUCAAUAUUUUUCCACCUUACACGGUCAAUAUCGCCCUCAACCCGAGAUAACGAAAAUAUCCGCGAUGGCUAGUGGCGACAUUCGAGUUUGGGAUCCAAACUAUUCUCUAUCAGAUUAGAAGGCUAAAAGGCAAUUUUCAAUUGGUAAAAUUUGAAUGAAAAUAUCUACUUGGUAUUAUUUGAAGUUGAAGCGCGUAGUCCUAACCUUAACUUAACCUACUUCCUCUGAAUUUUCAGAUAUUCCUACUAAAAUGUAUUAUUAUAAUAUAACGUCAAUUUCAGACAUAAUUUUUGUAUGGGAUUUUCUCACCACUUGCAGAAAAAAAGUGAUUUGCAUUGACAUAGAAUACUAAUUUGAUUCGUAAAAGUUAAUUUUCAUUCAUUAUUUACACUUCAGAAUUCGGUUUUUCUUCUCAAAAAUACAUCAUAAUACUCGUUUCACAAAUACAGACUGUUCCUUUCAGUUUCAGAGAUGCCAGAUUAUUUUAGUUUGCGAAAAUAUAUGCAAGUUAUUUUAUCUGCAAGCAAAUGUUUUUAUUCCAUAAAUGAGACUAUGACAGUAGAACCUCGAUUAUCCGCGAGCGGAUGAUCCGCCCUGCGGAUUAUUCGUGACUGCGAGUUCCAUAGUAAAUCAAUAGGCCUUUCCGGAAUUUGUUAGUGAGUGGUAGGCCCAUGCUCUUUUGUUGUGGUCAUGGCUUUUACAUUAUUUAGCCACUGGUGUACACGACCUUAUAGAUGGAUAGUUGAUUGAUUUCUGUAUUGAUAGAACAUAGUUUUUAUGUUGAAACAUCUCUUUUCGUGUUUGCAUUUUUUUGUCCUUUAAUGGGUCAUCCGCGAUUUUCGUUAAUCGCGGUGAGUUUGCCCGACUAUUCCGCGGAUAAUCGGGAUUCUACUGUAGCUUGAAUUAACACAUGAUGUUUUUUCAUCUGUGAUUUUCCCAGAUCUUCUCAUUCUCCAAAUUUUAUAGCGGAGUGUGAAGAAACACACAACCCGCUCACUAGCGCAAAGAAUGACCGAGUUCAACGUUAAAAAAUUCCUAAAACGUUUUUAAGUUUCAUCCACUCUCUCACCAUCACAUUGUCAGUUUACUUUGAAGUUUUGAUUUGUAUCGUGAAAAGUACCGUAUUUUGCUAUUCAAAGUAUCGGUUUUCCAAACCAAAAGCUUCCAUUUAUGAUUCCUACAAUUUCAGUAGUUUAUAAAUUUUAAUUGCAAUCGCAAAAAAGACUAACAAAAAUUAAAUGUGCGCUUGCAUAUCUGGCAACUCAGUCUGGAAGUCCGUGAGGUAAAACGUCAACAUCAUGCAUCUAUAUGAAAUGUCACGAUAUUGAUGCUCGAAAAUCAGAAAAUCCGGAUUUCUGCGUCGUCGGCCAUGUUCAGCUGUCAUUAUGCUCUCAAAUGUCAUCAUAUUGUCAAUAAAGUUGACCGUGUAAGGUCCGCUUAACGACUGUGAAGUGCGCACUUCGUAAUCGCCAUUUUUUUGUGGAAGCGAAGCAAUUCGGAGAUAUUCCGAAAUAUACUCAUUUUGGACGACGUUUCUUCUAUUCUACUACUGAUAGAAGCAUUUCCAUUUGCGAUCAAUCGUAAACGAACAUUUUACAACAGCCAUGAUUCGAUGCUAAUAUUUGGCGAUACAAACUAGGGAAAGGAAGAACCAAUAACGAUUCACCAUCGGUCCGUGCAAACGGUAUCAAAUAAGCGUAUCUUUUCGUCGACCAACGGCAGCGACCAGCGAAUCAACAAGUGCAGCUGAUUCCAGCACGAAUAGCUCUUCUGUUUCUUCACUGGAGCAUCGAAAAUCCCUAUCAGGCUCAGGUGCAGGCAAGAAUCAAUGAAGGAGGAGCAAGCUACGCUACCGCAAGUAUAGUCAUUUGCUCAUAAAAUUUACAAGAUGUAUCGAAACUCUCUAGGAAAAGUGUCGUCAUUCGUUUUUUCUACAAACUGAUAACCUCUGCGUGAUAAUGAUGUGUCAGGAAGAUCCAAUCAACUGCUUUUCUCAACCGGAGGAUGACAUGGAACAUGAAGAACGUCAGAACCGACUACGUGCUCUGUGCAAUCAUCAGGAUCUGUUCCAGGAGGAGAGUGUUGAAUUUGAUACUGGAAAGCAUCGACAAAAUCAAUGUCAUAUCGUCACUAGGUUUCAUGAUUUCCUCCUAGCUAGUGAUGAAAAAGUUGGGAGUCGAUAUCCGGAUAUCUGUUCCAACUACUAGCGGUUGUCAUCAAGGAAAACUCAGUUUGCUAACUCAAAUCAUUUUAAUUGGCUCAUCCCCCAUCUUGGAACGCAAGCAUCUAGUAAGGACUCCGGAUCGAUUUGUAAAUAUCUCGCCUCUCGAGAACCAUAAUCGUGCUCCGAUGAUUUUGUAUGUGUUGUGUUCACUGUGCGUUGGUAAUGGUCGGUAUGGUUGGUUGGUCGGUAAUCCUAAUAUCCUCGUUCAUCGUGUUGAGGAAUCUGGGGUGUACCAGAAGUGUUACUUUGAAAUUACUAUGGACCAUAACGGACAAACGUGCACAAACAUGACACCGCGUUUGCGAAUUAAUUGGGCCAAUACUGCUGAAUAUGUUGAGGAUGUAAAAAUGGGGCGAAAAUGACGUUGGUAAUAAUUUGCAUACUCAUGAUUCCGGACGUGACAAAACUAUUCAUCGCAAAAGGAAUGGAAUUGCACGCUAGAUCUCAGCGUCGGUGAUACGGUUUAUGUUCAAUGGAGAGCCAAUGCAUGUUUGAUUUUAAUCUAACUUGAAUGUUUUUUUUUCCGGUGAUGAGCUGCUUGUCGAAGCUAAGUUGUCAAUUUUAUUUUGGUUUCCGCGUUUCUGUCUGCGAUAUUGAACCCUAAGAUGGAAGAAUUCGGCGAUCUGCUGGUCGAGAGCACUCACAACUUGUGAGACAAAGAGCGAAUUCAACAAAGUUAACCAAAGACAACGAAAACCAUCGUAGCUCCCAUUCAGUUCCGUACAGCAUAUACGGCUAUGGCGACUAUCAGAAAGCUGUUGAUCUAUGGAUAUAAUUCGGACCAACAAACUGGUGAGACGAAUGAGCCCCUUGCGGCGGAAGCAUUCAGACAGAACUUCGCAACCAUCAGAACGCACCUAGCGGAGAAGACGUAUGCUGUUAUGUCAAGACAGACAUACUUUUAGUUUGAGGUACGGACUGUGGGACUGAUGAGGGACUGCAAUUCCGAAACGAUGUUGGGGAAUGAUGAUCCAUCGUGUGCUUUUGAUGGCUACAAUAUAAGCAUGAGCACAAAUAUCGAAUCCGAUUGUUCAAUACGACCAAUCACGACCCCUCAAUCCAAUGUAGUUGUUCUGUUACAAGAAAACAAGCCCCAAAUUCCUACUGAAGACACAUUUCCACUGCCUCACCAAGAGCAAAUCACAUAGAUGGUUGCCGAUAAAUUUCAAAUGUAAGUUUAUAUGAACCCCCUUCUUCGAACUCUGGGGCAUUCCAGAGCGUCACAAUUAAAUGGGCAAGUAAACUACACCUGCGCAGGGUCGAAGAUUUCGGUAGGCGAUACCUGGUCGGAGACGUAAUCGUUUUCUUCUUAAAUAUCCACGACAAGAUCAGCACGAGAGGAAUAAAUACGAACUAAGAGUACUGGGUACUGGUGUCAUCAACUUCCUGCUAAUCAGCGCCUCAUUCUCUAGAGACAGCGAUGCAGUAGAAGGAGUUAUUGCGACGAGAAUUAUUGUUGUUUUCAUAUUUUUUUGACGUAGGACUACGUCUUUCAUUUCUAUACCGGGGUGUAAAAUCAAAGUUUCGAAAACGCAAGCGUUACGCCGGAGACCGAGAUUUUGAGCGUUAAUAGCUAACAACUGAACGAAAUGGUAUGAUAAACACUUCAUUCGAAACAUAAAAUGUCUACGCGUUAUAUACUUGUUACUUUUUGAUCCAAAAACUUGUUUCAAUAGUCUUAAAAUUGCUUCCAAAACAGGCUAUUGAAAUCACCAAUCGGUAUAUAAGCGAGCGCCGCUCGGAAAUCCACUCAGUUCUAAUUGAACAGCGAUUGGAGCAUGUUGUCGCUGUUGUGGUGAAGCUCUUCGUUCAUCAUGGAAGCGCGGAUGAACGGUGUCACCAAGAGCCUGUUUGUGCACCCUAGGCCAGAAGGGAAUCCAUCAGGAGGAGAGUGACACACAUACACGCGCGGAAUUCUUUCCGUUUGGAUGCCAUUCAGCAUCGAGAAAGUUCCGGAAAGAUCUAAUCAUUUCUGGAAAAUAAUCUGCCAGUUCCUCUGGGAAUUUAAAAAUACAUUCAUGUGAAAGAGUUUAUUUUAAUGUUUUCUAACCAUAUAACACAGCGAUCAAAUACAUUCGAUUUUGUAAUUUUUCAACCAAGUGUAAUUUGCAGGAAAGCUUCUGAAGAUUAUUCUUCCCCAUCAGUAGGAUAUUUCCGUAUCCAAUAUUGUAUGCGUACGCAAUCGAUUAUUGCUCAGUCGCCGAAAGUUUCGAGCUCAGAGAGUUCAUUCCUCUCUAGUUUGCCUUCCAAAUUGCCAUCGUAAACCACGCCUUCUCUCGAUUCAAUCACGCACAAAAAGCAUACUUAAGCGAUAUUCUGGUAGUGAGACACAUUCAUUUUUCGUGAAGACAUCGACAAGACAACAUCGUUGCCUAAACGUGCUGGAGGAGGUGGGCGGCGAAGGAUCGUCACAUACACGCGCAGAAUUUUUUCCAUUCAGCAUCGAGAAAGUUCCGGAAAGAUCUAAUCAUUGCUGGAAAAUAUAAUCUGCCAGUUCCUCUGGGAAUUUAAAAAUACAUUCAUGCGAAAGAGUUUAUUUGAAUGUUUUCUAUCCAUGUAACACUGUGAUCAAAUAUGUUUCAAUCAAGUGCUAUUAACAGAUGGUUAUCGAGUUAGCAUAAACCACUGGUGGGCUUCCAGUAUCGAGGAAAAUGUGGAAAUAUCUAAUCGUUACUGAAAAUAAUCUGCCAGUUCCCCUUGGAAUUGAAAAUUACAUUCAAGCGAAAGAGUUUACUUUAAUGUUUUCUAUCCAUAAAAUAUUCAUAUAAUACAUUUGGGUUUGUGAUUUGUCAAUCAAGUACAGUUAGCAGGAAAGCUUCUGAAGAUUAUUCUUCAGAACAAGGUUUUUCGUAUCCUAUAUUGGAUGCAUAAAACCGUAACGCUCUCGUUUUCGAAGUCCCCCGAAUAUUCAUUUAUUCAUUCAUUCAGAAUGGAUUUAGAUUCAAUUUCAAACAAAUGAUCUCUAAAUCAACGAUAGUCCUGCGUCACCCUUGCGGUUAUACCAUAGAUAUAACCCACUUCCUGUUUUUAUUGUAGAACUAUUGAAAUUGUAUAUAGAAUAAGUUAUUAGUGAAAUAUUAUAUUAAAAUAACAUGUUAUCAAAC